ACGGGAGGCAGCAGUGAGGAAUAUUGGUCAAUGGGCGGAAGCCUGAACCAGCCAAGUAGCGUGAGGGAUGACGGCCCUAUGGGUUGUAAACCUCUUUUGUCAGGGAAUAAAGUGCGGGACGCGUCCCGUUUUGUAUGUACCUGAAGAAUAAGGACCGGCUAAUUCCGUGCCAGCAGCCGCGGUAAUACGGAAGGUCCGGGCGUUAUCCGGAUUUAUUGGGUUUAAAGGGAGCGCAGGCUGUCGUUUAAGCAUGCUGUGAAAUGUAGGCGCUCAACGUCUGCACUGCAGCGUGAACUGGAUGACUUGAGUACGCGGGAAGUAGGCGGAAUUCGUCGUGUAGCGGUGAAAUGCUUAGAUAUGACGAAGAACUCCGAUUGCGAAGGCAGCUUACUGUAGCGCAACUGACGCUAAAGCUCGAAAGUGCGGGUAUCGAACAGGAUUAGAUACCCUGGUA
rnacentral:rRNA from 1 species